GCCAGGCAUGGUGGUGCAUGCCUGUAGUCUCAGCUACUCGGGAGGCUGAGGCAGGAGAAUUGCUUGAACCCAGGAGGCGGAGGUUGCAGUGAGCCGAGAUCGUGCCACUGCACUCCAGCCUGGGUGACAAAGCGAGAUUCCGUCUUAA
rnacentral:SRP_RNA from 1 species